UACGUAGGGUCCGAGCGUUGUCCGGAAUUAUUGGGCGUAAAGGGCUCGUAGGCGGUCUGUUGCGUCGGGAGUGAAAACUUACAGCUUAACUGUGAGCGUGCUUCCGAUACGGGCAGACUUGAGGUAUUCAGGGGAGAACGGAAUUCCUGGUGUAGCGGUGAAAUGCGCAGAUAUCAGGAGGAACACCAGUGCGAAGGCGGUCU
rnacentral:rRNA from 1 species